UGGGGGACAACAUUUGGAAACAGAUGCUAAUACCGCAUAACAGCGUUGUUCGCAUGAACAACGCUUAAAAGACGGCUUCUCGCUAUCACUUCUGGAUGGACCUGCGGUGCAUUAGCUUGUUGGUGGGGUAACGGCCUACCAAGGCGAUGAUGCAUAGCCGAGUUGAGAGACUGAUCGGCCACAAUGGGACUGAGACACGGCCCAUACUCCUACGGGAGGCAGCAGUAGGGAAUCUUCCACAAUGGGCGCAAGCCUGAUGGAGCAACACCGCGUGAGUGAAGAAGGGUUUCGGCUCGUAAAGCUCUGUUGUUAAAGAAGAACACGUAUGAGAGUAACUGUUCAUACGUUGACGGUAUUUAACCAGAAAGUCACGGCUAACUACGUGCCAGCAGCCGCGGUAAUACGUAGGUGGCAAGCGUUAUCCGGAUUUAUUGGGCGUAAAGAGAGUGCAGGCGGUUUUCUAAGUCUGGUGUGAAAGCCUUCGGCUUAACCGGAGAAGUGCAUCGGAAACUGGAUAACUUGAGUGCAGAAGAGGGUAGUGGAACUCCAUGUGUAGCGGUGGAAUGCGUAGAUAUAUGGAAGAACACCAGUGGCGAAGGCGGCUACCUGGUCUGCAACUGACGCUGAGACUCGAAAGCAUGGGUAGCGAACAGGAUUUAGAUACCCCUGGUAGU
rnacentral:rRNA from 1 species